GAUUUAAGGUGUUUCAACUUCGAAAAAGUCUGCUCACAGAUGCAGAUGCUCCCGAAAACGGGUUUCGGCGACGUCUGGUGAACGAAGGUCUGCUUCCCAGCAUCGUCGGCAUUACAGAACACCAGGAUAAGACGGUACCCCGGGCGUCACAAGGACGGUCGGGUUCCAGUGAGUCAACACCACCCGGCGGCCAGAUUGGAACUUCUCCGAUUCUCUUUUGUUUCUCGUUUGGGUUUUUUAAUUAUAU